rnacentral:rRNA from 1 species
GGAUGCAUUCAUACCAGAACUAAAGCACCGGAUCCCAUCAGAACUCUGAAGUUAAGCGUGCUUGGGCGAGAGUAGUACUAGGAUGGGUGACCUCCUGGGAAGUCCUCGUGUUGCAUUCCC